GGGGAAGAGAGGACAAAAUGAUCGCAUUGUGAGUGUGUUGUUUUUUGAUAUUUUAUCCAUCUUUCUGGUAAUUUUCUUUUAUCUCUCGCUU
rnacentral:ribozyme from 13 species